CCUACGGGAGGCAGCAGUGAGGAAUAUUGGUCAAUGGACGAGAGUCUGAACCAGCCAAGUAGCGUGAAGGAUGACUGCUCUAUGGGUUGUAAACUUCUUUUAUAUGGGAAUAAAAUGUUCCACGUGUGUGAUUUUGUAUGUACCAUAUGAAUAAGGAUCGGCUAACUACGUGCCAGCAGCCGCGGUAAUACGGAGGAUCCGAGCGUUAUCCGGAUUUAUUGGGUUUAAAGGGAGCGUAGGUGGAUUGUUAAGUCAGUUGUGAAAGUUUGCGGCUCAACCGUAAAAUUGCAGUUGAAACUGGCAGUCUUGAGUACAGUAGAGGUGGGCGGAAUUCGUGGUGUAGCGGUGAAAUGCUUAGAUAUCACGAAGAACUCCGAUUGCGAAGGCAGUUCACUGGACUGCAACUGACACUGAGGCUCGAAAGUGUGGGUAUCAAACAGGAUUAGAUACCCCAGUAGUC
rnacentral:rRNA from 1 species